AGUGAACGCUGGCGGUAGGCCUAACACAUGCAAGUCGAACGGCAGCACAGGAGAGCUUGCUCUCUGGGUGGCGAGUGGCGGACGGGUGAGGAAUACAUCGGAAUCUACCUUUUCGUGGGGGAUAACGUAGGGAAACUUACGCUAAUACCGCAUACGACCUACGGGUGAAAGUGGGGGACCGCAAGGCCUCACGCGCGUAUAUGAGCUGGUGUCCGAUUAGCUAGUUGGCGGGGUAAUGGCCCACCAAGGCGACGAUCGGUAGCUGGUCUGAGAGGAUGAUCAGCCACACUGGAACUGAGACACGGUCCAGACUCCUACGGGAGGCAGCAGUGGGGAAUAUUGGACAAUGGGCGCAAGCCUGAUCCAGCCAUACCGCGUGGGUGAAGAAGGCCUUCGGGUUGUAAAGCCCUUUUGUUGGGAAAGAAAUCCUGUCGAUUAAUACUCGGUGGGGAUGACGGUACCCAAAGAAUAAGCACCGGCUAACUUCGUGCCAGCAGCCGCAGUAACAC
rnacentral:rRNA from 1 species